rnacentral:lncRNA from 1 species
AAGGCACCAAACUUACUAACUGUCAGAGAUUUUCAUUUUUAAUCAUUGCUCCCUAAGUAGCUCAGUUCCAACUUUAUGGAGUACUAAUGAACUUCAUGGAUGCCUAGCUAAUUUGUCUAAAGAAACAGUGAGAUGCAGCACAUCAAUUUAUGCAUCACUGAUGAGAUGAACAAGGAGAAGCAAUUGAUUGAAUAAUAAUUAGAGCUAGCUAAGCUGAAUGAUGAAGCGGAGCAAGGCGGCCAUGGAUGCCUAAAGCAAGCAAGCGAGCGAGCGAGCGGCCGUCAAGGCGAGCGAGCUGGCCGUUUGAUCACCUCGGGUGGCCGUGGAAGAAGGGUGCGCCGCCGCCGAAC